rnacentral:rRNA from 1 species
CCGCUGCCGGCGACGUCGCGAGAAGUCCACUGAACCUUAUCAUUUAGAGGAAGGAGAAGUUGUAACAAGGUUUCCGUAGGUGAACCUUCGGAAGGAUCAUUGUCGAUGCCCCGCCGAAAGAGAGACCCGCGAACCCGUUGGCGCGAGCCCCCGGCGGGGGGGACGGAGCCGCCCCCCGCCCACACGAACCGAAUCCCGGCGCCACAGGCGCCAAGGAAGCGCAACAGAGCAAGCGCGCCGCUGGCGGCCCGGGCACGGCGCCGACGACCCAGCGCUGCGUCUUUGAUGCCAUAGGCAUAUCCAUAAACGACUCUCGGCAACGGAUAUCUCGGCUCUCGCAUCGAUGAAGAACGUAGCGAAAUGCGAUACUUGGUGUGAAUUGCAGAAUCCCGUGAACCAUCGAGUCUUUGAACGCAAGUUGCGCCCGAAGCCAUUAGGCCGAGGGCACGUCUGCCUGGGUGUCACGCAACGUCGCCACCGCCCGAGCCCCGGGCGUGGCGGAUGAUGGCCUCCCGGGGGCCCGCGCCCCCCGGCCGGUCGAAAAGGCGGCCCGACGUGACGGCGGCCACGGUCCACGGUGGAUGAGCGACCGACACGCGCUCGAGACCGGACGUGCGCCGGCCGUCCCACGGGGGAGGGCCGACGGAGGCGGAGCCACCGACUCGUACGCGACCCCAGGUCAGGCGGGGCUACCCGCUGAGUUUAAGCAUAUCAAUAAGCGGAGGAA